rnacentral:rRNA from 1 species
GACGAACGCUGGCGGCGUGCUUAACACAUGCAAGUCGAACGGUGACGGAGAGCUUGCUCUCCUGAUCAGUGGCGAACGGGUGAGUAACACGUGGGCAACCUGCCCCAGACUUCGGGAUAACGCUUCGAAAGAGGUGCUAAUACCGAAUACGAACGCCGUGGGCAUCCACGGUGUUGGAAAGUUUUUCGGUCUGGGAUGGGCCCGCGGCCUAUCAGCUUGUUGGUGAGGUAAUGGCUCACCAAGGCGACGACGGGUAGCCGGCCUGAGAGGGCGACCGGCCACACUGGGACUGAGACACGGCCCAGACUCCUACGGGAGGCAGCAGUGGGGAAUAUUGCGCAAUGGGCGAAAGCCUGACGCAGCAACGCCGCGUGGGGGAUGAAGGCCUUCGGGUUGUAAACCUCUUUCAGCAGGGAAGAAGCGAAAGUGACGGUACCUGCAGAAGAAGCACCGGCUAACUACGUGCCAGCAGCCGCGGUAAU